rnacentral:rRNA from 1 species
UAGAGUUUGAUCCUGGCUCAGGAUGAACGCUGGCGGCGUGCCUAACACAUGCAAGUCGAACGAGAAGCUAACCUCUGAUUCCUUCGGGAUGAUGAGGUUAGCAGAAAGUGGCGAACGGGUGAGUAACGCGUGGGUAAUCUACCCUGUUUAGUGGGGGAUAACCCUCCGAAAGGAGGGCUAAUACCGCAUAAGGUCUUCUCCUCAUUAAGAGAAGAAGAUUAAAGAUGGCCUCUAUACUAUGCUAUCGCUUCAGGAUGAGCCUGCGUCCUAUUAGUUAGUUGGUGGGGUAAUGGCCUACCAAGACCACAAUGGGUAGCCGGUCUGAGAGGAUGUACGGCCACACUGGGACUGAGAUACGGCCCAGACUCCUACGGGAGGCAGCAGUGGGGAAUAUUGCGCAAUGGGGGAAACCCUGACGCAGCGACGCCGCGUGGAUGAUGAAGGCCUUUGGGUUGUAAAAUCCUGUUCUGGGGGAAGAAACCUUAAGGGUCCAAUAAACCCUUAAGCUGACCGUACCCCAAGAGAAAGCUCCGGCUAAUUAUGUGCCAGCAGCCGCGGUAAUACAUAAGGAGCAAGCGUUAUCCGGAAUUAUGGGGCUUAAAGAGCCCGUAGGCGGUCUAAAAAGUCAGGUGUGAAAUUAUCAGGCUCAACCUGAUAAGGUCAUCUGAAACUUUAAGACUUGAGGAUAGAAGAGGAAAGUGGAAUUCCCGGUGUAGCGGUGAAAUGCGUUAAUAUCGGGAGGAAACACCAGUGGCGAAGGCGGCUUUCUGGUUCUAUCUCUGACGCUGAGGAGCGAAAGCUAGGGGAGAAAACGGGAUUAGAUACCCCGGUAGUCCUAGCUGUAAACGAUGGAUACUAGGUGUGGGAGGUAUCGACCCCUUCUGUGCCGCAGCUAACGCAUUAAGUAUCCCGCCUGGGGAGUACGGUCGCAAGGCUGAAACUCAAAGGAAUUGACGGGGGCCCGCACAAGCGGUGGAGCAUGUGGUUUAAUUCGACGCAACGCGAAGAACCUUACCGGGACUUGACAUUAUCUUGCCCGUCUAAGAAAUUAGAUCUUCUUCCUUACGGAAGACAGGAUAACAGGUGGUGCAUGGUUGUCGUCAGCUCGUGUCGUGAGAUGUGGGUUAAGUCCCACAACGAGCGCAACCCUUAUGCUUAGUUGCUAACUUGUUUUACAAGUGCACUCUAGGCAGACUGCCGCAGAUAAUGCGGAGGAAGGUGGGGAUGACGUCAAAUCAUAUGCCCCUACGUCCCGGGCUACACACGUGCUACAAUGGCCUGUACAGAGGGUAGCGAAAGAGCGAUCUUAAGCCAAUCCCAAAAAGCAGGCCCCAGUUCGGAUUGGAGGCUGCAACUCGCCUCCAGAAGUAGGAAUCGCAUAGUAAUCGCGGAUCAGCAUG